GGCGCUAUAGCCAAGUGAUUACGGCGACAGAUUGAAAUGGUCACCAUGGACGCUGCUUUUCAAUCUGUUCCUCUUUCCGGGCGCAGGUUCAAAUUUUGCUGGCGUCG